CAUUUUAAAUUUGCAGGAAAGCAAUUACGGUAUUAUUUGUUUUAUUGGGUUUUUUUUAUCGCUUUUAUUUAAUAAAUUAUGAGUAAUCGUCUAGGUGAAGAGUACAAAACAGUGGUACAAGGAGAAGCAUCAGAAUCUGACGAGGAAACACCUAAGACAUUAGCUACAGGAAUAGUUGUAUCAGGAGAAGCAUCUGAAUCAGAAGAAGAAAUAGAUACAGCUGGUCGUAGGAAUGCUGAUUUACCACCUAUAAUAGUUGCACAGAGGAGUAUAAGUUUAUCUAGUGACACAGCAACUGAUAUCCCAACUUUGAUGACAUCUAGAGCUGCUGAAGCUAAAGCCAGUAAACCAAAAUAUGACACAUUAUUACAUAGAAAAUUACGCGACAGUAAUUUAAACUUCCAUUCACAUCUAGUCGAUAACUGUAGUCAGACAUAUUUAGCUGCUGCUAGAAAUUUACACAGUACAACAUUACAACUAAAUAAAUCACACUCAGCUGUGCAG